UGAAAUUCUUGGACCGCAGCAGGACGAACUACAGCGAAAGCAUUUGCCAAGUGCGUCUUCAUUAAUCAAGAACGAAAGUCAGAGGUUCGAAGGCGAUCAGAUACCGCCCUAGUUCUGACCGUAAACGAUGCCAACUAGCGAUCCGCCGGUGGCCCUUAGGCCCUGGUGGGGAGCUUCCCGGAAACGAAAGUCUUCCGGUUCCGGGGGAAGUAUGGUUGCAAAGCUGAAACUUAAAGGAAUUGACGGAAGGGCACCACCAGGAGUGGAGCCUGCGGCUUAAUUUGACUCAACACGGGGAAACUCACCCGGCCCGGACACCGUGAGGAUUGACAGAUUGAUAGCUCUUUCAUGAUUCGGUGGUUGGUGGUGCAUGGCCGUUCUUAGUUCGUGGAUCGAUUUGUCUGGUUUAUUCCGAUAACGAGCGAGACUCUAGCCUACUAACUAGUGCGGGCAUUGCCGCUGUGCCUCGCCGCACUUCUUAGAGGGAUUGGCUGCGUCUAGCAGCACGAAACAGAGCAAUAACAGGUCUGUGAUGCCCUUAGAUGUCCGGGGCUGCACGCGCGCUACACUGGCAAAGGCAGCGUGCUUGUCCGCCUCCGAAAGGAGCCGGUAAACCGAUGAAAAUUUGCCGUGAUUGGGAUCGGAAAUUGCAAUUAUUUUCCGUGAACGAGGAAUUCCAAGUAAGUGCGAGUCAUCAGCUCGCGUUGAUUACGUCCCUGCCCUUUGUACACACCGCCCGUCGCUGCCUAGAACUGAGCCAUUUCGAGAAUAUUCGGGAUCGCUGGCUUGGGGCCUUUCGGGGCUCCAUUUCGGCAAGAGAACGAACGUAAUCGCAGUGGCUUGAACCGGGCAAAAGUCGUACAAAGGGUAGC
rnacentral:rRNA from 1 species